GCUGGUCAUUUUGUGUCAGGAUAAACAAAAACAAAAAAAAAGUGAAAUUUGUUUUUUGUGAAAAGUUCAUUUUUUGGCCAAUGAGGCUUAUAGCAAUUAUUUAAAAUACAUCUGGUCACUCUACACAAUAAUCUAGAAACAAUGUGAAUGAACACCACAACAGCUUAAGCAGCAGACUUUGCAAAACACAAAAUUUACAUCACAGCCAAAACUUUUGGCCAUGACUGUAUAUUGUGGUGACAACAUAAAGCAUCAAUUGAUUGAGAUUUUGCAAUAUAACUUACAUUGCGGUACAGAAAUAUAGUCAUACAGCACAGUGCUACAUAAUCUACUACUAAUUCUCUAACCCAGUGUUUUUCUAAUGCUGUAUGAACCUCUUUUUGUCAGACCACAAAAAGGAGAAAAAAAAAAAAAAAAAAACACAAUGCUUGUCUAUAUAAUGGCAGUAAGUAGCGAGCUGCUUCAAGCUGUCACGUGUUGGUGCUGUAAGGAGCACAAGAAGAUGGAGAAUUCCAAAUAACAGUCCUUUAAUAAAUCCACAGAAGAAACAGUGGAGAAACUAAGGGAAAUGCAGCACAACCAACAUCUAACAUCAAACAAUAACCGGCAAGGACUGAACAGAAAUGGGGAGUACUUAUACAAAAGAGAGUCCCAAAAGUACUUAUACAAAAGAGUGUCCCAAAACAGGACACAUGUUAACAGAAUAAACUAAUCAAGGGAACUAAGGAAAACUAGGUCAAGGAACAAAACUAAACAGGAGAACAGGAAAAGAUACAACAGUCCAUGAACGGAACAUAACUGUGACCAUACUCCACCCUCCGGCCAGGCGGAAUUAGGAGGAGAACAUAGAAAUGGAGCAUGGAUGGUGACAGAGAAGGGCCAGCAGGAAAGCCGGUGGAUGACCAGGGCUGCGACGACGGAGGGAGGAUACAAGGAGCUGAUUGAGGGAGGGGCCAUGGUGGAGGAAGUGCUGACGACUUCAGGGAGCCGGCCGACAGCGUCAGAACAGGUGGGAUAGGAGCCCGGGCCAGAGAUGGAGAGCCAUAAACCCAGGGCGUCGGGGAGGAUCUGGAAGGCCGCAGUGGAGCCGGAGCGACAGAGGACCAAGGUGAAGCUGGAGGGGAGGGAGGAGCCCAACAGAGCAGGUGGGACGGAUUGAUGAGGCGCAGCCGGAGGAGUGAAGUCCUGAGGCAAUGGCGGGUCAACAACUGACCAAAGCAAAGCUGGAGGGACAAGGGAGCAUGGUGGAGCUGGUGGACUGACGGGCCAUGGCGGAAAGGAGGGAGCUAAGAGCCAUGGUGGAGCCACUGGGUCAACAGGCCGAGGCGGAGUCCGGCUCUGGGGCUGGUGAGUUCCUCAUCAUCGUGACAGACAGUGAACGGGGAUCCCUUUCUCACCAGUACCCACUCCACAAAGGCGGUGAAACUCUCCCGAAGACCAUCUUCGGAUGGCCGCGCUCUACAAGACGACGGAGAAUUCCAAAUAACAGUCCUUUAAUAAAUACACAGAAGAAACAAUGGAGAAAAUACAGCACAACCAACAUCUAACAUCAAACAAUAACCGGCAAGGACUGAACAGAAACGUGGAGUACUUAUACAAAAGCAAGAGAGGGACUAAUGACUAAAUUAACAGGACACAGGUGAACAGAAUGAACUAAUCAAGGGAACUAAGAAAUAGUAGGUCAAGGAACAAAACUAAACAGGAGAACAGGAAAUGAAAGAAACACAACCAAAGUCCAUGAACGGAACUUAACUGUGACACAAGCUUUAAAGAAAAAGAUGAAAAGGUAUCAUAAGUGACUCAUGUCGUGUUCUGAGGGCAUAUGAUAAUGUUUGAUUAAAAUUUACAUUAUUAUUUUGCAAAAAUCCUGACUAUGGCCAUUAAGCCACUGGUUAAAAAGGAUUUAGUUUUCCACAGAAGUAAG
ensembl:lncRNA